rnacentral:rRNA from 1 species
CAGGAUGAACGCUAGCGACAGGCUUAACACAUGCAAGUCGAGGGGCAGCAUAAAAGUAGCAAUACUUGGUGGCGACCGGCGCACGGGUGAGUAACGCGUAUGCAACCUACCUAUCAGAGGGGAAUAACCCGGCGAAAGUCGGACUAAUACCGCAUAAAACAGGGGCACCGCAUGGUGAUAUUUGUUAAAGAAAUUCGCUGAUAGAUGGGCAUGCGUUCCAUUAGGUAGUUGGUGAGGUAACGGCUCACCAAGCCGACGAUGGAUAGGGGAACUGAGAGGUUGGUCCCCCACACUGGUACUGAGACACGGACCAGACUCCUACGGGAGGCAGCAGUGAGGAAUAUUGGUCAAUGGGCGGGAGCCUGAACCAGCCAAGUCGCGUGAAGGAAGAAGGAUCUAUGGUUCGUAAACUUCUUUUGCAGGGGAAUAAAGUGCAGGACGUGUCCUGUUUUGUAUGUACCCUGAGAAUAAGGAUCGGCUAACUCCGUGCCAGCAGCCGC